GGGGUUUUGAAUCUCCGAGCCAUGCGCCGCCUAAAAGGGACCACCCUCACGGAGCCAGGCCAACGGGUUUCGCUGGAAACGGCGGAGCCUCCCUCUUGGAAAGGAGCGCCGGCACCGAUGCC
rnacentral:ncRNA from 2 species